GGUGUGGCUCAGCUUGGCUAGAGCGCUUGAUUUGGGAUCAAGAGGUCGCAGGUUCGAAUCCUGUCACC
rnacentral:tRNA from 22 species